rnacentral:lncRNA from 10 species
AGAGAAGACAAAAUAACCCAAAGAAAAGAAGUAUGGAAGGCAGGGGUAGCAAGGCGGAGCUGUGCCCUGUCACGGCACACAGAGAAUGCCCAUGGAUUUUCACAAAUGCUGUUAAAAUGUGAAAAGAAGGUGUUUCUUUUUUCUUCAAUCUGAGCUUCAAGCUAAUAUGGGCAUUCAGCUAAAUCCCUCCUGGGUCCUGAAACAGUAUGUGGUUUUGGAUUUCAAAGGUAAUUAUUGCUGAAUUCAUUGUAUGGCCAGUGCACCUGCCAGGUAGACAUUAUAAAAGAGCAUGCAGGGGGCCACCAAGAGAAUUUGGAGGACAAUUUCUCCAUCACAAAACCCCUUUGAAAGCCUAUUAAGGCAUCAAGUGCCAGGAAUGGAGUUGAACAUAUUCAUAAUACAGUUAACAAUGCAAAUGAAGCAACAGUUCCAGGUCGGAGAAAAUGCCGAUGCUUACCUGAGAAAUUCGGGCUCCAUUGUAUUGUGUCUGUCCUGCAAUUGACUCACAAUAAUCCCUACAACUUCUGGGAGAGGUGCAAGUAUCAACCAGUUGGAGACACAGGGAAAGGGUGAUAUAAUGCAGAAAGUGACUUGAACAAAUUUACACAGAAGGCAGUGAAGUGUGAUUCAAAUUCAAGCAGUCUAGACUGUGCCCCACACAACUCUGCAGCAUAACCUUGCAGUAUGAAAAUAAUGCCUCUCAUGCAGAUCAGGGAUAUGAGAUCCAGUGACUUACCCAAAGUUUCAAAGGAAAGAUGUAACAGAGCCAUCUCUGAACUUCUGCUCUUGGGAAUCUACACACUCUUUCCACUAGUUCUGACCUUAGCAGGUGUUUGACCCA